UGAGUAACCUGCCCUUAACUCUGGGAUAAGCCUGGGAAACUGGGUCUAAUACCGGAUAUGACUCCUCAUCGCAUGGUGGGGGGUGGAAAGCUUUUUUGUGGUUUUGGAUCGACUCGCGGCCUAUCAGCUUGUUGGUGAGGUAAUGGCUCACCAAGGCUUCGACGGGUAGCCGGCCUGAGAGGGCGACCGGCCACACUGGGACUGAGAUACGGCCCGGACUCCUACGGGAGGCAG
rnacentral:rRNA from 1 species